rnacentral:rRNA from 1 species
CAGCCGCCACGGGAAUACGUAGGUGGCAAGCGUUGUCCGGAAUUAUUGGGCGUAAAGGGCUCGCAGGCGGUUUCUUAAGUCUGAUGUGAAAGCCCCCGGCUCAACCAGGGAGGGUCACUGGAAACUGGGAAACUUGAGUGCAGAAGAGGAGAGUGGAAUUCCACGUGUAGCGGUGAAAUGCGUAGAGAUGUGGAGGAACACCAGUGGCGAAGGCGACUCUCUGGUCUGUAACUGGCGCUGAGGAGCGAAAGCGUGGGGAGCGAACAGGAUUAGAUACCCCAGUAGUCCCUGUCUCUUAUAC